rnacentral:lncRNA from 10 species
GGCGUCCUGCUGGGCAGAGGCCAGGCCUAAUUAAGACCCUGAAUAAUGCCCAGCUCUUGUUUCUGGUUUUUUUCCCCACCAGGGAUGCAGAAUUAAUAAGAGCCCAAGCAAACCGUGAAUCCUUUUGUUGGCAGAAGGGUCAGUAGCCACAGGGGGUCGGUCCUCAGGAGGGAAUCAGGGUGCCCUGGAUCCUGCAGAAGUGACAAAGCACGACAGAGGGUGGCUUGGCGGCUGCACCGAUUUCAGGGCUGCGGGAAAGGUCCACUGUCCUAAUGUGCCCACUCCCAUCUGGCUGAAAUUUGAAAUUUCUUUAACAAGACACAAAGAGGUUCUAUCUUAAAAUUAGAAAGAAUGUCUCAAAGACUCUGGCAUGAUAGUAAUCAGGGUACGCUGGUAUUAGAGGGGCCUUGUGUCCAGGGGUGGGGUUCUAGAAGGACACUGUUCUGGCUCAGAUUCUGCUCAUGAGCAAGCCUCUGUGUCCUCUUCAUGAAGUGAAGGGGAUUCUCACAGUUUCCAGGAAAUGCUCCUAAAUGGCACAGGAGGAUGCCUGUGUGCCCGUCAAAGGGUCUGGGGGCUUCAUCCAAAUUAGCUGGCCCGCAGGUGUAAUUUCUUUGAAGUGUAAUAUUUUAUAGCUUUUAAAUUCUAUUGAAUGUUGUGUCCUCCUUCCUUUAUGACUAUAUUUGUUUUAAUAAAAAAUAAUGUUUUUCCAAGCA